rnacentral:rRNA from 1 species
UACGUAGGCAGCGAGCGUUGUUCGGAGUUACUGGGCGUAAAGGGUGUGUAGGCGGUUGUUUAAGUUUGGUGUGAAAGCCCCGAGCUUAACUUGGGAAUUGCGCUUGUGACUGGCGUGCUGGAGUGUGGCAGAGGGAGGUGGAAUUCCACGUGUAGCAGUGAAAUGCGUAGAGAUGUGGAGGAACACCGAUGGCGAAGGCAGCCUCCUGGGCCGACAUUGACGCUGAGGAGCGAAAGCGUGGGGAGCGAACAGG